rnacentral:rRNA from 1 species
AUUUGACCCUCAAAUCAGGUUAGGGNCUACCCGCCUGAACUUA